CUAUCUGGCAAGCUACCAAUGCCAGCCAGACUCCCAGACAUGGGCUGAAGGCUUAAGGCCACGCAGCUAACUGGAUGCAGAAUCUACCCUGCCCUCGCUGGGUCUCAGCCUAGAUCGUCCAAUGCAAACUCACCUGGGAGCUGCCAGUGAGUCCGGUCCCCCUGGGCCAGCCUGCCACCUGCUUCUGGUACGGAGAAUGGAGCAGAGAGGCUGACAGGAGGGCGAGGAACUGCUUGUCCUCGUAGUCGAAGCGGCUGCCGAAGACGACGGAGCUGAUGACAUUGGACACGGUGCGGCUCAGGUAGAAGGUGGGGUCGAA